GAUGAACGCUGGCGGCGUGCCUAAUACAUGCAAGUCGAGCGAACAGACGAGGAGCUUGCUCCUCUGACGUUAGCGGCGGACGGGUGAGUAACACGUGGAUAACCUACCUAUAAGACUGGGAUAACUUCGGGAAACCGGAGCUAAUACCGGAUAAUAUAUUGAACCGCAUGGUUCAAUAGUGAAAGACGGUUUUGCUGUCACUUAUAGAUGGAUCCGCGCCGCAUUAGCUAGUUGGUAAGGUAACGGCUUACCAAGGCAACGAUGCGUAGCCGACCUGAGAGGGUGAUCGGCCACACUGGAACUGAGACACGGUCCAGACUCCUACGGGAGGCAGCAGUAGGGAAUCUUCCGCAAUGGGCGAAAGCCUGACGUAGCAACGCCGCGUGAGUGAUGAAGGUCCUCGGAUCGUAAAACUCUGUUAUUAGGGAAGAACAAAUGUGUAAGUAACUAUGCACGUCUUGACGGUACCUAAUCAGAAAGCCACGGCUAACUACGUG
rnacentral:rRNA from 1 species